rnacentral:lncRNA from 1 species
UUAAUAGAAAGGGACAUUAAGAGCUAUCAUCCUUCCCAUAGAUGUGAAAGACCAGGACUCAGAGACAUGUUACUACUGCUCUGUGCCAAGCCAGAAAUAUAAUCUCUGCCUGGACAAUAUCUGCUGCAGUAUGGGGAGAGGGAUCUGUAUGGAGACUUGUUUAUUUUGGGAUUCAUACUUCUCUUGUUCUUCUGUGGUUAGUAGAAACAGCCACACAACUAACCUGUGUCUUUCUUCAUGCCAGGUGUUGAGUAAGCAGCUGUAUUGAAGACAGCUGAAUGCUGAGGGAGAGAGGUUUCCCAUUGCUGCCUGGAUGGAUGGUCCUGUCAGUCCUGUCUUAGUCCCAGGGGAUGGUCUCCUACACUCUCCCUUGUGUGAUGACUGCAUGACUACACCCCUUGGAUCCUAUCACCAUUCAUCUUUGGAAAGGAGCAAAACGGAGCACUGUUUAUCAGAAAGCAGAGAGCCGCAGCAGCAAUUCCCUGACCCAU